CAGCGGCGCCCAUUCCUCUACCUGAUUCUGCCCUGAAGCUCCACUAUGCCGCCCCUCCUCCGCCCGACCUCACCCUGGCGCUCCUCAGCUAGAUCCCAGGCGUCGACACCUAGGAUCUCCUGCACUGCCUCGAGCUUGGAUGUCGUUGGAGCACGAUUCGGCUGAUGCCGGUGCUUGGGCGGGCACAAAACUCUCUCUCUCUCUCCCUCUCCCUCUCUCUCUCUCCACCUCCCCUCCCCUUCUUCCUCCCCGCCAGCCUCCAUCGCCCCUCCCCACCGCCGUUGCGCACCGAUGUCGUCCCCAUCGAAGAAGGCGCUCGCGGCUGGCAAUAGUAGGUCAACAACACUGCAACUCCUUCGGAUCCAUUCGUUGUUCUCGUAGGUGUUGAUCGAUUAGUGCCAUGCGCAAGAAAUUGGUGAGUGAUUCCCCCCAGUCCCCACCUCUCAGUUAAUUUGGUAGACAUUGGAUGCAAAUCUCGUGAGAUUUAUUGGUACUUGGCCAUGGGUGCUUGAUUGCAGAUGUACUUUUGCAGAUAGCAAGUGAUUUCCCCCAAAUUCCCAGCCCGCAAUAUUAUUUUGCCCAUAUCACUUUUCAUCUGAAAUGUGCAAUAUAUUCUAGGCCUAGAUCCGUGCACUGCUCCAUUCCUCAUCCCUGAAUUUGUUGUGUUGCUACUGCAGUAACGAGAAAUGAUCCCCUUAAUCUCCUUACUCCGAUCCAUAUAUUAUGUUCUUUGGUGCUCUGAUUGCAAAAGAAGAGGAUCCAAGGCAGAGGUGAGAACAAUAAAAGGAACAAGUCCUUUUACGAGGAAUUGCGGGUGUUAUUAUUAGUUAUCUUUGUUUUUGGACUUUCUUGCCUUUCAUUAUAAGCUGGCUGAAGCCUCAAAAACAAUCAGGUCAUACACGCAUGCCGAAGUUACAUGCCGCGUCUCCAGAACAUGGGAGGCUGAAACCUGCUUAGCUAGAAAAUAAGCUACCUUAUUAAAAUUUUUGCUAACAAAAGAGAUCAAAAACUCUUGAAAGACAAUCCUGAGAUCACUGAUCUCUCGAAGAACAGGGUCAAUGAUCGUUGCUAGGUCUCCCAACUUAUUCCAGAGUUGCAACACCUGUAGGCGAUCGGUCUGAACCACCACUCGCUGGAACCCUAGUUGCAGGGCAAGUUUGAGACCUUCUAUGCGUAUGCCAUAGCUUCCAUGAAGCAUGCGUCAAAGCACCUGUCCUACCAGAUGGCCUGUGCUGCUUGAAAAACACCUUCAUGGUCCCUGAUAUAGAAGUUGCCCAUCACUUGCUGUCAUCAGAAAACACUACAUCUAUGUUAAUCUUGAAACACCCAGGCACCGGUUUCUUCCAUCUCAGAUGGUCUGACUCUACUGCCUACUGAUCGAGCUGAUGUCCCAGCUGCCACAAAUCAUGAGCCAUGUCGCUAGCCCAUACCACAGCUUGUUGAAUUGUCAUUGUUAGCUCACCAUGUCGACUUUUAUUCUGUUGCAUCCACAUAGCCCACAUGCCACACAUGUUAUUAUUAUUAGUUAUCUGACAUGAAGCAUUUGGACUAAUGAAAUGACAAUACUAAUGUUUUUGCAAUGAGGCAUUUGGGCAUAUGCAGCUACAAUCCAUAUGUCUGUUAUUUUGUUACUGAUAUGAGGCAUUUGGUAUAAGCAAUGAUGAUUGCCACUCUCUCUACUCUCUUCUUGAUGAUUUGAUGCAUUUGCUUGGCAUAUGCAGUUAUGAUUAUCUUUUCUUUUUUGAUCUCUCUGUCUCAUGUUACUCAUCUGAGUCAAUUGGCAUAUGCAGUGAAUAUGAUCAUUCUGACUUUGAUAUUCUAUUCUCCUAUUUAUUUAUAAACUAAGGUUGGUAUAUGUAGUGAUGCCAUCCAUUGUAUGCAUAUUGUACUGGCCCAUUUGACCUUAUGCAUGAGAAACAAUGUUUUAGAAGGAGGUGAUAUCUUUAUUGAAUCAGUAAUGCCAUUUGUGAAACUCUAUUUAAUAGUGAAACUCUACUUAAAAUGAUUCACGUUAUCUUGUACUGUCACCUCUGACUGUUAUAACAUAGUUCUUAAGUGAUUGAGUCCUUACGUUUUAACAUAACUAUUUCAGAACCUAUUAUUUAUAUCAACUUCAUGAGUUCUGACUAAAUUUUAUUUCUAUUGUUUGUUUCAAAAUAGUGCCAACAGUUGAGAAUACCCAUUCAUGACGAGAUAGAAUACCCAACUGCCGAAAUUAAUUAUGCCAGUCAAAGCGUUCUUAUUCCAUGGGUAGAAAUAGAAUUCGGCUAUUCCAUGGUUCCAUGGACAAAGACUAAUUAUAGUUUUUCUUCUCGUUAAGAAGCGGAUAGCAUUUAAAGACUCUGAUUUCCAACAAGCUCUUAUGUUACAGAGAGGAAGCAGUCUGAACCUUUUCUGAUCAGAGAGCAUUACUCCGAUAAAAUACAUGUAAGCUUCUACACUCAUAUAUACACUGCUUAGAUGAAUAUUAUUUCAUCAUUGAUAAUUGCUAAUCUGCAUUUGUGAUUUAGAUUACUCAUGUUUUUGGAUGUUAACGAAGUUCUUGCCUGCAACCAUUUCAGUGAAAUAGGCAGCACAUCAAAUUUAGCUUUGUGUGAUCUCAGAUUCACCUGCACUGAGAUCUACCUAGCUUUUAACUAGCUGUUGACGGUCGUUAAGUACGAAAUAUACCGUCAACUAUACUCUUAAAAGAAGGAAAACUAUACCUCUUACUCGCAUAUUUGUAUCACUAACCUAGCUCCACAGUUGUUUUCGAAGAUUUAUGUUUUCAGGAGCACAAGUCCUGAAUAAGACGAAAACACAAUGAAUACACAGACAGAAGUCACAGACGAUCGUGUCCUGCAUAACAUGAGCAAAGGAGACCCACAAACCAGACCAAACCAACCAACCAAGCCCCGGCACCGACCAUCUGACAUCAGGACCCACCAGGCAGUGUGCUAGAGAAAGUCAGUGGAAAAUGGCGCCAAGGGGGGGGGGGGUCAGCCGACCCCACAUGUCAGCCUUUCCGGCUGAGUUUUGGCAUGAAGUUUGAUCUUAUCCUCCUGAAGGCGGUUGAUGAUGUUUACAUGUUUAGAGAUGGCGGGAACCGACCUCUCAAGCUAUAAAAGGGGCCUCCCACCACUCUCACCAGACACACCACUUGAAGGCCUCUCUCUCUACACUCUCUUGUGACUUGUACUCCUUAGGAUAGUGGAGCUAGGCUAGUACUUCAUCUCCUUAGCGAAUCCAGUCGUCCUCGGGGUCGGCGAGCCAUCCACGGCCUCUGGUAUGGCUUUGUAUUCCGACUUUCUUUAUGCUAUUCAUAUUGAGUUCAUUCUUGGUUAUCUUGCUAUGUUCGUAGCUUGCUUAGCUUUGAUCUGUGCUUUAUCAAGUUAUACUAGUUGCUUGCUUAGACCAGAAGAUCUGGGUAAGGAUAUCAGUUCGUUGUGCUUUCGGGCUUGCCUUAGCAUCUUACCUGUCGAUACGAAGGGUGGGGGACCCGGGGGUGCUAGGGUAGUGACCUCAUAUGCGGGCAUGGUGCCCGGGUAUGCGGGAUCCUUCGGAUAUGACGAUGCUCCACGGUGUGACUGGGGUAGACCGCAGGUGGUGACAGUCCUGUCGGUCCGCCGGGAAGCUGCUUCUCGGUUAGCGUACUCCCCAAUGUUCGGGUACGGUGUAGGAGUUCAUACAAGGAUGAAACAGGACUGGAUUUUCUCCAGUGCGGGUCAUUCUCCCCGAUGUCCCUAAUUUUCUGGCACCUGCAGCUCUAAGCAAUGUGGCUAACGUAACUUAUCUAAAUAGUAUACUAGGAACCUUUGCCUAUGCUCCCACUAACCUUAGGGUUGCUUGUUUAUUCUUUAUUCAUGAGAGUUGGCUGUUCUGUGUGUGUCACAUUACCCCUGAUUAUCCUUUAUAUAUCACUUACCCCUAUAUAGUCAGUGGUCUUCAUCUUACUUCAUACGUGUCAUGGUUAUGAACUAAGUAAAUACACUUUACACAACCUAGCCAUCCCUUCGGAAAUAUAAAUAACGAUACCCUGAAUACUUCCGGGUGAAAUGCUACAACAGUAUUUCCGUGCGCUUGUAGAUCCUUCUGUAAAUGUUAAGACAUACCACACGGCAUCUUCGAGGCGCCGUUGCUAGGAACUAACCACUCCUAGUGGCGACGCUAAGAAACGCCAACACUAGCCAACAACACACAGUAACUAUUUUUCAGUAUGCUUGUUAGUUUAUGAUAAGUAUUUUCUUAUUACAUACAUAGAAGCAAACUAACCUUCUGAAUAUGUAUAACUAAGUGGCACUUGAAUUACUCUUAUGUUACUCUAUUUUUUAUAGCAAAUAUUGAUCCAUUAUGCCCAUUGGCACUCACGCAUGUUCUAAAGCCAGCAAACUCAUGAAGAAUUGCAUGUGGACGCACAAGUUGAGUCGAUCUUGACUCAACUUGUAUCUAUGUAUGCUGGAUUUACCCGCUCGCAGGAGUUGAUAUGCUAAUUAUCGAAGUAUAUACCCAACCUGAACAGUGUUGAAUUAAAUAUAUAACUAUCUCACGUUCCAGUUCACAAUUUCUAUUGCUACUAUCAUGAUUGGACGUGCAAAACUAGAUUAUUUGGUAGCUAUGCAUUCUUGUUGCAUGUAGAUUUAUGGUGGUCGGAUAUGGCAUAAUAUUGAUGCUCCAAAUGCCGGACAAACACCUGAUGAUAGGAUGGAUUGGUGCUCGGAUGUAACCAUGGUGAUGGAUGUAAUGUGAUGUUCAUAAUUGAGAUGCUGGAUAGACACGUGAUGCAUAGGAAAGCAUGAUGCUCGGAUUUGUUGUAAUAUUCAUUAUUUGACAGACACCUGAUGGCUAGGAUAGCUUCGUGCUCAUAUGUGCUGUACUAUUUAUGAUUCAAAUGCCGAAUAGACACCUAUAUUAACAUGAUGAUAUGCUUGGUAUUGGAUGUGCUGGUUUUGUAUUA